GGGGAUUCAGCUUAGCAGCCUAAGCACCUGCCUGGCAAGCAGGCAGUCGUGAGUUCAAUCCCUG
rnacentral:tRNA from 1 species